UUCUGAUGGGGGUAGGAGGUAGUCAGUGAGCACGGCACCGGGGCUGAGACUGACCCUGGCCACUGAGGCUGACAUGGCCAGGGUCACAGAGCAGUCACAAGGCUGAAGGCAACUGCAACUUGCUGAGAAUGAAAAUUCUUGAAGAGGACGAACACAGGAUCUCUGAGUGCCGAAAGGUGAGGAGUCCCCACAGCGCAGACAGCACACAGCCAUUUGGGAGUCCCAAGGACACACUGACUCCUCCACAAAUGUCUCCUCACCUCUCGGUUGAUUAUAAACAGAGGGGGCGUGAGAAGAGAGGUGGAGCUGUGUGGCGGGAGACAAGAGAUGAAGGCACUGCCGAAAAGAGUGAGCCAUGCCAGAGCCUUCCCUCAGGGGACUUGACAGUAAAUGUAAUUGUCUGUCCGCCUCAGCCUCGAGCAUGUGGAAGUUUGCUGAUGAAGUGACACCAUUCUGAGACUUUGUCCAAAACAGUCCAUUCAGCAAGGAGGUGGGGGCCAACUUAUUGGUUUCAGCCUCCUGCAUCCGGGGAAUCCUUUGCAAAAGCUCCUAGAGAUGGAAGGGUUUCUUGCCCCAUGAACUGCUCUGCAGCGAUCUCUGAGCUGGGCUGUGGUGUCCUGGGUCCAUGGACACACCAGAAAAUCGGCUUCAGAGGUUCGACCAAGCCUUUAUAGAAACUGGCCCAUCCCACACCCAGCUGCUCAGAUGCCUUCUGUAAGGAGGAGCCCAGUUUGAUGGACUUCAGCCCUCCUUUGCCUGCCAGGGAAGCCAGGCUGAGAGGCCAAACAGAUGAGUUAUGAGCUAAUUUCUACCUGUGCUCACCUGUUGGUGUCAGUUUCUGCAGGUCCUCACUGGUGCAGACUCAGGCACAUGGUGGGACAGCCUGUCUUUAGGCGGGCUGUCCACGGAGCAGUGCAAAUAUCAUUGGUCAUUUGGGACACAGUUUCAAAUGGUCUGAUACCUAGCAUUAAAUAAAACUUGCCAGAUACCAGCCUAAGUUCUCCUCCAUCAAGGAGAAAGGCUCGCUUUGGAACCAGUGUGUUUUACCUUCCUAAACACCAGCUAAUCCCCCCUCAAACAAUAAAG